UACGUAGGUGGCAAGCGUUGUCCGGAUUUAUUGGGUUUAAAGGGUGCGUAGGCGGUCUUCUAGGUCAGUUGUGAAAUACUUCAGCUUAACUGGAGAGGUGCAAUUGAUACUGGAAGACUUGAGUACUGAUGAGGUAGGCGGAAUGGACGGUGUAGCGGUGAAAUGCUUAGAUAUCGUCCAGAACACCGAUAGCGAAGGCAGCUUACUAAGGAGUAACUGACGCUGAGGCACGAAAGUGUGGGGAUCAAACAGG
rnacentral:rRNA from 1 species